rnacentral:rRNA from 1 species
UGGGGAAUUUUGGACAAUGGGCGAAAGCCUGAUCCAGCAAUGCCGCGUGUGUGAAGAAGGCCUUCGGGUUGUAAAGCACUUUUGUCCGGAAAGAAAUCCUCUGGGUUAAUACCUCGGGGGGAUGACGGUACCGGAAGAAUAAGCACCGGCUAACUACGUGCCAGCAGCCGCGGUAAUACGUAGGGUGCAAGCGUUAAUCGGAAUUACUGGGCGUAAAGCGUGCGCAGGCGGUUUUGUAAGACGGAUGUGAAAUCCCCGGGCUUAACCUGGGAACUGCAUUCGUGACUGCAAGGCUAGAGUAUGGCAGAGGGGGGUAGAAUUCCACGUGUAGCAGUGAAAUGCGUAGAGAUGUGGAGGAAUACCGAUGGCGAAGGCAGCCCCCUGGGCCAAUACUGACGCUCAUGCACGAAAGCGUGGGGAGCAAACAGGAUUAGAUACCCUGGUAGUCCACGCCCUAAAACGAUGUCAACUAGUUGUUGGGGAUUCAUUUCCUUAGUAACGUAGCUAACGCGUGAAGUUGACCGCCUGGGGAGUACGGUCGCAAGAUUAAAACUUAAAUGAAUUGACGGGG